CCCAGUUCCGGGGCCGUUCACUGGAUCCGAAGCCUCUAGAAGGAUAAUAUAGGCACUCCAUACCCUACUCCGACUCAAUACGUCCCCGUCGUACAGAAUGGUAACAUAUCUCUCCAAAUAUCUGAGCUUGGGUAUACGGGGAAACCCAACCCCUUGGGAAGAUUGGGUAUAUGGCUAAAUUGAGCGGA
rnacentral:ribozyme from 1 species